AUGGGAAUUUCUCUGUCUUGGGAAGGAAUCCAGUGGGGAUCAGGUGUUCCCUGGGAAUUCCCGGUGUUUUCCCUGGGAAUUCCCGGUGUUUUCCUUGGGAAUUCCCAAUGUUUUCCUGGGAAUUCCCGCUCUUUUCCUUGGGAAUUCCCGCUCUUUUCCCGCUCUUUUCAUGGGAAUUCCCGCUCUUUUCCCGCUCUUUUCCCUGGGAAUUCCCGCUCUUUUCCUUGGGAAUUCCCGCUCUUUUUCCCGCUCUGUUCUCUGGGAAUUCCCGCCCUUUUCCCUGGGAAUUCCCGCUCUUUUCUCUGGGAAUUCCCGCUCUCUUCCCGCUCUUUUCCCUGGGAAUUCCCGCUCUUUUCCCUGGGAAUUCCCGCUCUUUUCCCGCUCAUUUCAUGGGAAUUCCCGCUCUUUUCCCGCUCUUUUCCCUGGGAAUUCCCGCUCUUUUCCUUGGGAAUUCCCGCUCUUUUCCUUGGGAAUUCCCGCUCUUUUCCCUGGGAAUUCCCGCUCUUUUCCCUGGGAAUUCCCGCUCUUUUCCCGCUCUUUUCCUUGGGAAUUCCCGCUCUUUUCCCUGGAAAUUCCCGCUCUUUUCCCACUCAUUUCCCUGGGAAUUCCCAUUCUUUUCCCUGGGAAUUCCCGCUCUCUUCCCGCUCUUUUCCCUGGGAAUUCCCGCUCUUUUCCUUGGGAAUUCCCGCUCUUUUCCUGCUCUUUUCCCUGGAAAUUCCCGCUCUUUUUCCCGCUGUUUUCCCUGACGUUUUCCCCGGAAAUUCCCGGUAUUUUCCCAGCUUUUCCCUGGGAAUUCCGCCUGUUUUCCCUGGAAUAAAUCCCCCUCUCUCCUUCCCAAUUCCUCCCCUCGCCCCACAGACCCCCUGGAAAAUCGGGAAUUCCCGUUUUCCUCACCGAUCCUCCGGGCCAGGUCGAUGCAGAUUUCCUCGGCGCUCAGCGAUCCUCGGGAAUAAAUCCGGAAUAUUUCCCGCUCCUCGUCCCCGCUCCAGUGCAGGAAAACCUUGA
rnacentral:lncRNA from 1 species